AGAACUCGCCGCUGGCCUGCGAGUGACGACCGAGCAGCACCUGCAGCGCAACGUCCUGGAGCGGUUGCUACACCGCGGCCGUUAGCGCUGUUGGGCCAACCGGAGAUGCUGUCGUCAAGCACAUCUGCUUUGGGGCUGGAACUACCACUGUAUUUGGCCUCUUAAAAAAAUAAUUUGUGACAAAUCUGCAAAAAGAAAUACACUUACCCUAGAAGGAUAUCUGGUGUAUGGCCAGAUAAUGACAGAUUAAGAGAACUGAAGAUAGCUAUAAUCAACUUACAUAUCACCAAGUCAACUCUUCUGUUGAAGAUUUGCAGUGAGAAAAGAAAGUGCUAAUAAGCAUAUUAUCUCAACCUAAAAGAAAAGUCCUAAGACGGCUUCAGCUGUUCCGCUAGUGACACCAAAAUGGCCACAGGAAGGGAGAAGAAAGAAAGGCCAUAGGAGUGGCAUGUGGAAAGUUCAAAGGCUAGGGUUAAACUGGAGCUACAGCUGCCAGCCUGUGCCACAGCCAUGCAAUGUGCGAUCCAAGUUGUGUCUGCAACCUAUACCACAGUUCAUAGCAACACCAGAUCCUUAACCCACUGAGCGAGGCCAGGGUUUGAACCUACAUCCUCAUGGAUACUAGUUGGGUUCUUAACCUGCUGAGCCACUAUGAGAACUCCCUUUUUUUUUUUAAUUUACAUUCCUACUAACAGUGCAUGCACAAGGAUUCUCUUUUCUCCAUAUUCUUUUUUUUUAAUGAUUUUUUUUCUGUCAUAGCUGGUUUACAGUGUUCUGUCAGUUUUCUACUGUACAGCAAGGUGACCCAGUCACACAUACAUAUAUACAUUCUUUUUCUCACAUUAUCCUCCAUCAUGCUCCAUCACAAGGGACUAGAUAUAGUUCCCAGUGCUAUACAGCAGGAUCUCAUUGCUCAUCCAUUCCAAAGGCAGUAGUUUGCAUCUGUUAACUCCAUGUUCCCAGUCCAUCCCACCUUCUCCCCCUCCCCCUUGGUAACCACAAGUCUGUUCUCCAAGUCCAUGGGUUUCUUUUCUGUGGAAAGGUUCAUUUGUGCUAUAUAUUAGAUUCCAGAUAUUAGUGACAUCAUAUGGUAUUUGUCUUUCUCUUUCUGACUUACUUCACUUAGUAUGAGUCUCUAGUUCCAUCCAUGUUGCUGCAAAUGGCUCUUUCCUCCAAAUUCUUGUCUGUCCUUGUUAUCUUUUGCCAUUUCGUGAAUAAUCAUUCUAACAGGUAGUUUUUACUCACUGUGGUUUUGAUUUGCAUUUCUCUGAUGAUUAGCGUUGUGUUGUUGCCUACUUCACAGUUACAUCAAUGUCAGAUCCGAGCUGUGUCUGCGACCUACACCACAGCUCACAGCAACACUGGAUCCUUAACCCACUGGAUCAAACCUGCAUCCUCAUGUAUAGUAAUCGGGUUUGUUACUGCUGAACCAUGACAGGAACUCCCAAACAGAUUUUGAAUAAGGAAUUUCCACCAGGAGAGUGGGCCACCAUAGGAACAUGAGCAGAUUUAUUCCUAAACACGUGCAAGAAAACCAUUCACAACUCCCAAAUUAACUGGUGAAGAUUUUGUGCGGGUAAGUUUUUGAAAUCUUUUAGGUGGACAUAUAUUGUUGAUGAGACUUUUUGGUUCCCAAAAAGGUGUGAGAAUAUUCAGACUAUAUCUGAUUUACAAAAAAUACCUUGCUUGUUCCCAGUUUUAUAUUCCCUAGAUAUUCUUCACUUUAUAAAAUAAAUAUUUUAGAAAAAGUUGACUAUUUUCUGAUAGGUAAAACCCUAUUUUCUCAUAGGUGGCCAUUUUAGAUAUAAUUUAGGUACAUAGUAACCACUAUAUUCCUUUCCAGUCAGGAAAAUAUUGGAUUAAAAACUUUUGAUAAAGAAGGACACCGAGGGUGUUCUCUUGUGGUGCAGCAGGUUAAGGAUCUGGCAUUUUCACUGCAGCAGCUUAGGUCACUGCUGUGGCACAGAUUCAGUCCCUGACCCAGGAACUUCUGCGUGCUGUGGGUGUGGCCAAAGUGAGGGGGGCAUUGAGAAAAAGGCUAGGUCGGAGAAGCCUGGGCAGUAAUAAGCCCGUAGGGGCACAUCUACUCUGAAGUUAUUCCUCUCCUCUUAGUCACUACCAUGGUCUCUAUCUUCAUAGCUACCACAUUUUUUUUUAUUACUCAAUGAAUUUAUUACAUUUAUAGUUGUACAAUGAUCAUCACAAUCCAAUUUUAUAGGAUUUCCAUCCCACAACCCCAGUGCCUCCCCCCAACCCCCAAACUAUCUCCUUUGGAAACUGUGAGUUUUUCAGAUUCCGUGAGUCAGUAUCUGUUCUGCAAAGAAGUUUAUUGCUACCACAUUUUAAAGCUCAGAUUUAUGAAGCUUAAAGAAUGAGGCUGUAGGAUUUCCUGUUGUGGCUCAGCAGUAACCAACCCAUCUAGUUUCCUUGAAGACUAGGGUUUGAUCCCUGGCCUGCUCAGUGGGUUAAGGAUCCAGCGUUGCCGUGAGCUGUGGUAUAGGUCAUAGACGUGGCUCGGAUCCCACGUUGCUGUGGUGUGGUGUAGGCCAGCAGCUGCAGCUCCAGCUGGGAUUCAACCCCUAGCCUGGGAAUUUCCAUAUGCCAUGAGUGCAGCCCUUAAAAAAACAAAAACAAAAAACAGAAUGAGGCUGUAAUAGCAUCAUUUUUGCAGGUAUUAUGAUCAUCACACUAAAUAAAAAUUUACUUAUUAUUAUUCCAUGAUUAUUCUAAAAGCUUAGAAUGUUUUCUAUUGAGUGAUGUAACCUCUGUUAGGGACCAUGGUGGCUAGCAGAUGGGAUAAGAUUCUGUUCCAUCAGUGGUAACUGAACCUGUCUUGUUCUUAAUAGUCUAGUUCCUUUCCCUUAUACUAGAGCUCUUCUUUCAUGUAAGAACCCAAUCUAGGUAUCUUAGUUGGGGUUGAACUCUCACUCAGGCCCAUAUUACCAUCAUCACAAAAAUGUAUAAGUGGCCAGGCCAGGCUAGCUAGAGUUCCCCAUUUCCUUAGUGUCAUUGCUUGUUUCAGAGAUGUAUAUGUGACCUUAGCAAAACAUAUCAGAAUCACCUUCAGGAGUUUUUUUGUCAGAGCUGUUGGAAAAGACUGCUCUUUUUGCUGAAUUUGCUAAGCUGGGAGCAUAAGCGUCUGGGACUCAGGAAACCCAGAAAGAAACUACAAGAGAUAAGUAGAGCUAGGAGACUGGGAAACAGCCUGAUGACAUCAUGAGCCCCCGGAUCCUGUUAUGUCUGAAGCCAGAUCUAUGUUAACUCCUCUUUCUUCUCCUACCAUCUGCUCUUGAGCAGUAGCCUCAAUUGCUCCAAUCCCAGACCAAUUUACCCAGCUCACCAGGAGUAAAAACUCCCACUAUUUUCCCAGUCUUAGAUUCCUAGGGUUUCCCUUCCAGGCAUUGAUGCCAAUGAAACAACUGUUGAGACAAGAAUAUACAAGCACAUGAUUCAUUAUCUUUGUUAACUUUGACCAGUCAGAGAGAAAGAUAUCAGGUUGAAAGUACCUUGAAGCUCUCACAAGCCCACAGUGUCUAGAUAAUCCUUUUAACAAACAAAUUAUUUUCCUCAUAAUAUUACUCUUUUAUCUGUGGUUAUAUCACUUCCAAAACAUCUCUCCAAAUCACUUCCCAAACUCCUUUCUGGAUAGUUCCCCAGUGUUCAGAUAGCUGAACUACCUGUGGCUUUGCCCCUACUAGUUGUUUACUUCAUCUGCAUGUGGUCUUUGUCACCUUCAUAAAGAGGGUGUUCUGUUGCCAGAAUAACUGUAGAAAAGAGCACAUCACAAAUUGAGUGAAGUUUGAAUCACAUCAGGUUCAGUAGUUCCCAUUGCAUUCUUUGCUGCCCUUGCUUUUGUGUUCGUGAAAACAUAGGCAGUCUUCAGUUCCUACUCAUUUCUCUUCUUGUUUUGUCUCCCUCUAAAGCUUCUAGCUGAGGAGUACCUGCUGUGGCACAGUGGGUUAAAGAUCCAGCAUUGUCUCUGCUGCAGCUCAGGUUCUAUCCCCAGCCUGGCGCAGUUAGUUAAAGACCUGGCAUUGCCACAGCUGUGACAUAGGUCACAUCUGUGGCUCAGCUUCAGUCUCUGCCCUGGAAACUUCCAUAUGCUGCAGGUAUGGCCAAAAAAAGAAAGAAAGGGAAAAAAAGCUUCUAGCUGACAUAUUCACUUUGUCCUGAAUUUAUUAAUUUAUCUUAUUUUACUUAUAAUAGUUAAUGUAGAUAGCUUGUGUUCAUCCUACAUAAUAGAUUAUUUCUGAGUUUCUCUUUUAAACCAAAAUUGUUUAUUUAACCCCUCCCCCAAACCUCCCAACUUGCUUGAGCCAAUAAAUUCUUCUUUUG
rnacentral:lncRNA from 1 species